GAGCUUCCUGAACCGUGCCAGGUCCUGGCGGAAGCAGCACUAAGGGAAAUCCUCCGGGUGCCGUGAGGGUGCCUGGCCCGAGCCGCCUGCGGCGGGUGACGACCGGAAGCCGGUAUUCAAAGGCAGGUGCACGG
rnacentral:SRP_RNA from 1 species